CGGGCGGGCUGGGAUUGGCGGGCCCGGCGCUGCCUCGGGCUGUGAUUGGCUGGGCUGGCCGGUGUGGGCUAUAAAUAGCGUGAGCUGGAGGGGUGCGGGCCUUAGUUCGGCGGCGAGCGGUGGAGAGGCGGCGGCGGCGGGCGGCGGCGUGAGCGGUCCAGGGAGCACCGGUGCGCAGGACAGGAGCACUGCGCUCACUGAACUGGGGAGCGCCGGUGAUUUCCAGGAGCAAAAAAGAGGUGAUAGUCAAGGUGCUUGUGAACUGGUGUUAAAAGACAAAUUCUUCAUUGUCAAUCCAGCUACCAUCCUUGUUCAGUUAAACUCUGCAACAGAUCUCCCACAAAGUUGUGUCCUGCUGUUGCUGCUUCUGAAGGAUCAUGGAAUCACACAAUGGUUUGAGUUGGAAGUGACUUUAAAGCUCAUCUCAUUCCACCCUUGCCAUGAGGAGGGACACCUUCACUAGACCAGGUUGCUUCGUCCUGGCCUUGAACACUUCUAGGGAUGGAGCACUUCCACGAUGGCUGUUUGACUUCCUUUCCC